CGGAUAAGUCUUUACAGAGAAAGCUUUAUGCACCAUUGGAUGAGCCUGCACUUGAUUAGUUUGUUGGUGGGGUAAUGGCCUACCAAGACUGUGAUCAAUAGCUGAUUUGAGAGGAUGAUCAGCCACAUUGGGACUGAGACACGGCCCAAACUCCUACGGGAGGCAGCAGUGGGGAAUCUUGCACAAUGGAGGAAACUCUGAUGCAGCGAUGCCGCGUGAGUGAAGAAGGCCCUUGGGUUGUAAAGCUCUUUCGUCGGGGAAGAAAAUGACUGUA
rnacentral:rRNA from 1 species